rnacentral:rRNA from 1 species
CCUACGGGAGACAGCAGUGGGGAAUAUUGGGCAAUGGGCGCAAGCCUGACCCAGCAACGCCGCGUGAAGGAAGAAGGCUUUCGGGUUGUAAACUUCUGUUGUCAGGGACGAAGCAAGUGACGGUACCUGACGAAUAAGCCACGGCUAACUACGCGCCAGCAGCCGCGGUAAUACGUAGGUGGCAAGCGUUAGCCGGAUUUAGUGGGUGUAAAGGGCGUGUAGGCGGGAAUGCAAGUCAGAUGUGAAAACUAUGGGCUCAACCCAUAGCCUGCAUUUGAAACUGUGUUGCUUGAGUGCUGGAGAGGCAAUCGGAAUUCCGUGUGUAGCGGUGAAAUGCGUAGAUAUACGGAGGAACACCAGUGGCGAAGGCGGAUUGCUGGACAGUAACUGACGCUGAGGCGCGAAAGCGUGGGGAGCAAACAGGAUUAGAUACCCUUGUAGUC